UAGCAGCACUUGUCUUCUUGAGCGCUUAGAAAUAAGGGAUUGUCCAUCUUUAAUAUGGUUAUCAUCAAGGGCCGAUAUAUGCAAUCGGCUUCAACAUCUCGAUAUUAGUAAUUGUUCAGAGUUUGGUAGCUUAUUUUUAAAUGCCAAGUUACCCGUAAUGCUUAAACAUCUCGAAAUUUGGUUUUGUCCAGUGUUGGAAUGCAUAGCCCAAGACUUCCUUGAAACCACUGAUCUCGAAAGCGUUACAAUUAGGGGUGCUGAAAAACUGAAAUCAUUACAGCGGGGAUUUGACAAGCUCAGCCAUCUUCAGGAGAUUCGAUUAGCUACGUGUCCAAAUCUGGUUCCAUUUGAAGAAAGUGGGUUGCCCACCACAAAUCUCAGAGUACUCAUGAUUUUCGAUUGUGAAAAUUUUGGAGCCUUCCCAAGUGCAUCAACAACUUCACCUCCCUUCGAGAAUUAGAGGUGCGGGACUGUUCGGCUGACAUAUCCUUUCCAGAAGAGGGUUUCCCUACCAACCUCACAUCAAAUCUCAAACGCACCCAAAAUUUAUACAUCACCCGUUGAAUGGGGAUUUAACAGACUCACCUCUCUUCAAUAACUCGACAUCAGCGGUGAAGGAUGCUCACGUGUGGUGUCAUUUCCACAAGAAGCGAUAGGAAUGAUGUUGCCUCCUCCUCUGACCCAUAUCAGAGUUCAGAGAUUUAAAAAUUUGGAAUUCUUGUGCUCCAAGGGCUUACAACACCUCACCUCUCUUCAACAACUGAGCAUCUAUAAUUGUCCUAAGCUCGCCUCUCUUCCAGAAAAAGAUAUUUCUCUCGCUUGAGAAGCUAUAUAUUUCCAAUUGUCCGUCGCUAUAAGAAGGGUGCAGUAGGGGUAAAGGACAAGAGUGGUCCAAGAUUUCCCACAUACCUUGUGUUAAAAUUCAUUGUGAAAAAGUCAUCCUGGGGGAAUUAUUUUAAGCAGCAAAUCUGGUAUCGAUUUCUUCACACUCAAACCACAGGCAUUGAAGGCUAAAUUGGCGAAAAAUAGUGGAGAACUUCAACUCAUCUGCUUCAGCUUAUUUGAUUUAGUAAAGCGGAUUAAUGGAGGGAUACAGGACACGUUACAACAUGGCAUUUGAGAGCUCCAUUUAACACAUACCAUGAAUCCAUUCAAAGGCUGCAUCAAUUCACUUGAUGAGGAAUUGCUUCUUUGAUCAUGUGGAUUGAGCGACAUAAACAAGCUCACUGUCUUUGGGAACCAUGAAACUGGUGGCAGAUAAAAGGCCAAAUGGUACCACUGGGGAGGUGUACGUACCUUUGGGUGAUAAACCCUUAGAAUGGUGGGCAUCCAAAGAGGGCAAUACCAGCUUAUGGGCACAACAACGGCACAACGUGGUAUUUCCCAACCCGCAGAAAGCAUAUAGCUGAUGUACAUUUAGAAAAUUGCUCCAUGUUUGUGGAUAAUUAUUGGCUAAUUAUUUUAUUUUAUGAUGUGAUUCUAUUGUUAUCUCCAUUUUUUAAUAGUAAAUUUCAUUUUUGGUUCUGCUCGUA